rnacentral:rRNA from 1 species
CGAACGCUGGCGACAGGCUUACCACAUGCAAGUCGAGCGCCCCGCAAGGGGAGCGGCAGACGGGAGAGUAACACGUGGGAACAUACCUUUUGGUUCGGAACAACUGAGGGAAACUUCAGCUAAUACCGGAUAAGCCCUUACGGGGAAAGAUUUAUCGCCGAAAGAUUGGCCCGCGUCUGAUUAGCUAGUUGGUGAGGUAACGGCUCACCAAGGCGACGAUCAGUAGCUGGUCUGAGAGGAUGAUCAGCCUCACUGGGACUGAGACACGGCCCAGACUCCUACGGGAGGCAGCAGUGGGGAAUAUUGGACAAUGGGGGCAACCCUGAUCCAGCCAUGCCGCGUGAGUGAUGAAGGCCUUAGGGUUGUAAAGCUCUUUUGCCCGGGAAGAUAAUGACGGUACCGGGAGAAUAAGCCCCGGCUAACUUCGUG